AUUGAACGCUGGCGGCAGGCUUAACACAUGCAAGUCGAACGAGUGGCGGACGGGUGAGUAAUACUUGGGAAUCUAGCUUAUGGAGGGGGAUAACUUCGGGAAACUGUCGCUAAUACCGCGUACCAUAGGAUGAGCCCAAGUGGGAUUGGGUAGUUGGGGGGGUAAAGGCUCACCAAGCCGACGAUCUCUAGCUGGUCUGAGAGGAUGACCAGCCACACUGGGACUGAGACACGGCCCAGACUCCUACGGGAGGAAGCAGUGGGGAAUAUUGGACAAUGGGCGCAAGCCUGAUGCAGCCAUGCCGCGUGGGUGAAGAAGGCCUUAGGGUUGUAAAGUACUUUUGUUGGGAAAGCGUUACCCAAAGAAUAAGCACCGGCUAACUUCGUGCCAGCAGCCGCGGUAAUUC
rnacentral:rRNA from 1 species